rnacentral:rRNA from 1 species
GACGAACGCUGGCGGCGUGCUUAACACAUGCAAGUCGAACGGAAAGGCCCCUUUUGGGGUCCUCGAGUGGCGAACGGGGGAGUAACACGUGCGUAACCUGCCCUUGACUUCGGGAUAACUUCACGAAACUGGGGCUAAUACCGGAUAGGAAUCCUUUCUGCAUGGUGGGUGUUGGAAAGCUUGGGAGGUUUUGGAUGGGCUUGGGGCUCAUCAGCUUGUUGGUGGGGUAGUGGUUUACCAAGGCUGUGACGGGUAGCCGGCCUGAGAGGGAGACCGGCCACAGUGGGACUGAGAUACGGCCCAGGCUCCGACGGGAGGCAGCAGUGGGGAAGAUUGAACAAGGAGCGGAGGCCAGAUGCAGCAACGCCGCGGGCGGGAUGACGGCCUUCGGGUUGGAAACCGAAUUCAGCAGGGGCGGAGCUGGUGGUGACGGUACCUGCAGAAGAAGCACCGGCUAACUACGUG